rnacentral:rRNA from 1 species
AUUGAACGCUGGCGGCAUGCCUAACACAUGCAAGUCGAGCGGAGCGGCGGACGGGUGAGUAAUGCCUAGGAAUCUGCCUGGUAGUGGGGGAUAACGUCCGGAAACGGGCGCUAAUAUCGCAUACUAUCAGAUGCGCCUAGGUCGGGUUAGCCAGUUGGUGGGGUAAAGGCCUACCAAGGCGACGAUCCGUAACUGGGCUGAGAGGAUGAUCAGUCACACUGGAAAUGAGACACGGUCCAGACUCCGACGGGAGGCAGCAGGGUGGAAUAUUGGACAAAGGGCGAAAGCCUGAUCCAGCCAAGCCGCGUGUGUGAAGAAGGUCUUCGGAUUGUAAAGCACUUUAAGUUGGGAGGCGUGACCAACAGAAUAAGCACCGGCUAACUUCAUGCCAGCAGCGGCGGUAAUAUC